GUGCUAGUAGUAUCGGUUGUGUUUGAUGUUUUGAACCAGUAGAGAGCAAAACAAAUUUUUCUUGUACACAAUUCGACUGUUUCAAGCAGAUUUUAAUAAUCGUAUUUUUUUUCACUGCAGUAACUGUUAUAUGUCUCCUGCAUUGAUUAUGCACUUCUUAUGUAACAUUUUUAAGAAUUCAACUUUGAAAUAGUGUUGUUCCCAUUUGCUAAACAUUUACUUGUAUUGCAA
rnacentral:lncRNA from 1 species